rnacentral:rRNA from 1 species
AGCGAACGCUGGCGGCGUGCCUAACACAUGCAAGUCGAACGUGAAAAGGGAAACCUGAGUAAAGUGGCGUACGGGUGAGUCACGCGUAGGUAAUCUACCCCAGAAUCUGGAAUAACCUGCCGAAAGGCGGGCUAAUACUGGAUAGAGCGAGGGAACUCGUAAGAGAGUUUUUCGGGAAAGGGAGCCCGCAAGGGCCUUCGUUCUGGGAUGAGCCUGCGUCUCAUUAGCUAGUUGGUAAGGUAACGGCUUACCAAGGCGAUGAUGAGUAGCUGGUCUGAGAGGAGAGACGGCCACACGGGAACAGAAACCCGGCCCAGACCCCUACGGGGGGCGGCAGGGGGGAAUCUUGCGCAAGGGAGGAAGUGCGAACCCAGCCACGCCGGGGGAGGAAAGAAGGCCUUCGGGUUGUAAAGCUUUGUCGGAGGGGAGGAACAUUUUCAUAGUGAAAAGCUAGGAGGAUGACGGGAACCAAAAAAGGAAGCCCGGGCAAACCCCGG